rnacentral:rRNA from 1 species
UGUGAGCUCGAUGAGUAGGGCGGGACACGUGGUAUCCUGUCUGAAUAUGGGGGGACCAUCCUCCAAGGCUAAAUACUCCUGACUGACCGAUAGUGAACCAGUACCGUGAGGGAAAGGCGAAAAGAACCCCGGCGAGGGGAGUGAAAAAGAACCUGAAACCGUGUACGUACAAGCAGUGGGAGCACGCUUCGGCGUGUGACUGCGUACCUUUUGUAUAAUGGGUCAGCGACUUAUAUUCUGUAGCAAGGUUAACCGAAUAGGGGAGCCGAAGGGAAACCGAGUCUUAACUGGGCGUUAAGUUGCAGGGUAUAGACCCGAAACCCGGUGAUCUAGCCAUGGGCAGGUUGAAGGUUGGGUAACACUAACUGGAGGACCGAACCGACUAAUGUUGAAAAAUUAGCGGAUGACUUGUGGCUGGGGGUGAAAGGCCAAUCAAACCGGGAGAUAGCUGGUUCUCCCCGAAAGCUAUUUAGGUAGCGCCUCGUGAAUUCAUCUCCGGGGGUAGAGCACUGUUUCGGCAAGGGGGUCAUCCCGACUUACCAACCCGAUGCAAACUGCGAAUACCGGAGAAUGUUAUCACGGGAGACACACGGCGGGUGCUAACGUCCGUCGUGAAGAGGGAAACAACCCAGACCGCCAGCUAAGGUCCCAAAGUCAUGGUUAAGUGGGAAACGAUGUGGGAAGGCCCAGACAGCCAGGAUGUUGGCUUAGAAGCAGCCAUCAUUUAAAGAAAGCGUAAUAGCUCACUGGUCGAGUCGGCCUGCGCGGAAGAUGUAACGGGGCUAAACCAUGCACCGAAGCUGCGGCAGCGACGCUGAUGCGUUGUUGGGUAGGGGAGCGUUCUGUAAGCCUGCGAAGGUGUGCUGUGAGGCAUGCUGGAGGUAUCAGAAGUGCGAAUGCUGACAUAAGUAACGAUAAAGCGGGUGAAAAGCCCGCUCGCCGGAAGACCAAGGGUUCCUGUCCAACGUUAAUCGGGGCAGGGUGAGUCGACCCCUAAGGCGAGGCCGAAAGGCGUAGUCGAUGGGAAACAGGUUAAUAUUCCUGUACUUGGUGUUACUGCGAAGGGGGGACGGAGAAGGCUAUGUUGGCCGGGCGACGGUUGUCCCGGUUUAAGCGUGUAGGCUGGUUUUCCAGGCAAAUCCGGAAAAUCAAGGCUGAGGCGUGAUGACGAGGCACUACGGUGCUGAAGCAACAAAUGCCCUGCUUCCAGGAAAAGCCUCUAAGCAUCAGGUAACAUCAAAUCGUACCCCAAACCGACACAGGUGGUCAGGUAGAGAAUACCAAGGCGCUUGAGAGAACUCGGGUGAAGGAACUAGGCAAAAUGGUGCCGUAACUUCGGGAGAAGGCACGCUGAUAUGUAGGUGAAGUCCCUCGCGGAUGGAGCUGAAAUCAGUCGAAGAUACCAGCUGGCUGCAACUGUUUAUUAAAAACACAGCACUGUGCAAACACGAAAGUGGACGUAUACGGUGUGACGCCUGCCCGGUGCCGGAAGGUUAAUUGAUGGGGUCAGCGCAAGCGAAGCUCUUGAUCGAAGCCCCGGUAAACGGCGGCCGUAACUAUAACGGUCCUAAGGUAGCGAAAUUCCUUGUCGGGUAAGUUCCGACCUGCACGAAUGGCGUAAUGAUGGCCAGGCUGUCUCCACCCGAGACUCAGUGAAAUUGAACUCGCUGUGAAGAUGCAGUGUACCCGCGGCAAGACGGAAAGACCCCGUGAACCUUUACUAUAGCUUGACACUGAACAUUGAGCCUUGAUGUGUAGGAUAGGUGGGAGGCUUUGAAGUGUGGACGCCAGUCUGCAUGGAGCCGACCUUGAAAUACCACCCUUUAAUGUUUGAUGUUCUAACGUUGACCCGUAAUCCGGGUUGCGGACAGUGUCUGGUGGGUAGUUUGACUGGGGCGGUCUCCUCCUAAAGAGUAACGGAGGAGCACGAAGGUUGGCUAAUCCUGGUCGGACAUCAGGAGGUUAGUGCAAUGGCAUAAGCCAGCUUGACUGCGAGCGUGACGGCGCGAGCAGGUGCGAAAGCAGGUCAUAGUGAUCCGGUGGUUCUGAAUGGAAGGGCCAUCGCUCAACGGAUAAAAGGUACUCCGGGGAUAACAGGCUGAUACCGCCCAAGAGUUCAUAUCGACGGCGGUGUUUGGCACCUCGAUGUCGGCUCAUCACAUCCUGGGGCUGAAGUAGGUCCCAAGGGUAUGGCUGUUCGCCAUUUAAAGUGGUACGCGAGCUGGGUUUAGAACGUCGUGAGACAGUUCGGUCCCUAUCUGCCGUGGGCGCUGGAGAACUGAGGGGGGCUGCUCCUAGUACGAGAGGACCGGAGUGGACGCAUCACUGGUGUUCGGGUUGUCAUGCCAAUGGCACUGCCCGGUAGCUAAAUGCGGAAGAGAUAAGUGCUGAAAGCAUCUAAGCACGAAACUUGCCCCGAGAUGAGUUCU